CGGAUGUUAGGCUUUGGACAAACGGAAUAUAUCCGCGUUGUCCAAGCAAAACUGGACAGAUUGUGGUUCCAAUCAUGAUGGGGAUCUAUAUGCUUUUCACCAAUAUACUCCUUCUCAACCUUCUGAUUGCUAUGUUCAGUCACACAUUCGAUAGUAUUCAUAAGCGAUCGGAAUCGCUGUGGUGUUAUCAGCGAUACUUCAUACUGAAGGAGUACGGAAUGAGACCUGUUAUAUGUCCUCCUCUAAACAUAUGUUGGCACAUAUACGAUCUUGUCCAACGCGUGUGCUGUCGACACGCGACUGUAGAAGAUCCUUUUCGAUUUGAUAACGACGAAAAACGCUCAAACAGUGCUAGAACAGAUGCUAAAGAGUCAACAAUUAUUAAGAUAAAUUACGGCAUGCCUGAUUAUCAUUUCGCUGAUCUGCAAAAGAGGGUCAGAACUCUUGUAUGCAAGGUGUAUGGUGAUGUGGACACGAUCGUUGAGAAGACUUAUAGCUCUACCGAAGAUCGUUAUUUUGAACGUCGGUUAUCACAAAUGGCUAACACGUUGCAAUCGCUAUGGAAAGUGGUAUCUUCAUUUAGCAAUACACGUACCAACUUUCGCCUAGAGGAAUACUUAAAAACAAGCGAAGUGGAUUUUUAUGACAAGCACC